AUAAGCAAAAUAAGGGCGUAUGGGGAAUGCCUAGGCUCUCAGAGGCGAAGAAGGACGUGAUAAGCUGCGAAAAGCUACGGGGAUCGGCACACACGACUUGAUCCGUAGAUAUCCGAAUGGGGCAACCCACUAUGUUGAAGACAUAGUAUCCUUUAUAGGAGGCGAACCCGCUGAACUGAAACAUCUAAGUAGGCGGAGGAGAAGAAAACAAAAGUGAUUCCGUAAGUAGU
rnacentral:rRNA from 1 species